rnacentral:rRNA from 1 species
GAUGAACGCUGGCGGCGUGCUUAACACAUGCAAGUCGAACGGAAAGGCCCAAGCUUGCUUGGGUACUCGAGUGGCGAACGGGUGAGUAACACGUGGGUGAUCUGCCCUGCACUUCGGGAUAAGCCUGGGAAACUGGGUCUAAUACCGGAUAGGACCACAUUUUGGAUGGUGUGGUGGAAAGCUUUUCGGGGUGGGGUGAGGUCGCGGCCUAUCAGCUUGUUGGUGGGGUAAUGGCCUACCAAGGCGUCGACGGGUAGCCGGCCUGCGAGGGUGUACGGCCACCAUGGGACUGAGAUGCGGCCCAGACUGCGAAUGGAGGAAGCAGGGGGGAAGAUUGCACAAUGGGCGCAAGCCUGGUGCAGCGAGGCCGCGGGGGGGAAGACGGCCUUCGGGUUGGAAACUCGCUUCGCUAGGGACGAAGCGUUAUGUGACGGUACCUGGAGAAGAAGCACCGGCUAACUACGUG